AACACCGGUUUCUUAUAGAUUUUUCACAAUUGCGAUAUAUCCGCUUGAGCGGAGAAACCAGGGAAGUGAGCUGCUAGCCAUCGUUUGCGGCUGAUCGAAAUAGUCGAAUUAAGAGAUUUUACAAAAAUUAUUCAGAGAUGCUGGGAAUUGUUACAGCAAAACUUGCAAAGAUGGGGUUGUCGCAAUUGAAGAUCCAAUAUUGGGGAGCAGUGUUUACUCUCUGUUCAGUUUAAAAAUUCAGGCAGUAAAAAUUUGGAAAAUGAUCUGGAUAAUCGCUACUACUUGAAUUGGGAUGCUAAAUGCAAUGGUCAAGGCCAUCAGCAGGUUGUGUUCAUUUCUCCGUCUCGGAGCUAGCACUCUGCGGAGCAAGCACUCUGCUGUCUUGCUGGUACCAAUUCUAUCUUGACAGGAGGCAUGGGAAGUCGGUGGUGCCUAAACUCCUCCAUGCGGGGACUAUGGUUGUGGUUCUAAAAUUGGCUUUUCAGGGAACACCUAUCUUUUAGUAUUCCUAUAGUAGCUUAUUUUGAAUUGUUGUUCUACUGGGUGUUCAUGGAAUAGUGGUUUAUAUUCCUGAAUUAAGUUAAUAACCUAUUCUAUGCAUGAUGUAUCUAGCCCCCGGAUGAAGGUGAAGGAAAUUGAAGGUACACCUCUUCUGGAUGAAGACUCCCUAAAAGCUUUGGUCCGCCUCUUGAGGCUAGCAUAGGUACCAUUCAGUUUGAGUAACUCUAGUUUGGAUAGAUCUCUAGUUCUGUCCUGAUCAGAUAUAUGAAAGAUUUUAUUGCAUAUGCUAGCUACAAGUAAGUCAAAAGCGGUCUUUGCGCUUUUAAUUUUGGAAUUAUGGUUAUUUACAAGUUGUAAUGCAUGGAUCAUGAAUUAUGGUUAUUUACAAGUUGAAAGCACUCUUUAACUAUUUUAUUUGUUUUUUUUAUUCCGAUUUGACUGGCAAACCUCUCACUUUUGUUAUGAUUUGAAAAAUCAAUACCUCUGAAUAUAUACCCAAUUAGUGUGUUAAUUGGACUGUAUUAGUAGUAUCUGUACAAAAUCAAAGAAGAUUGAUAAACAAGAGAAGUGAGUAGUGGUGGAUAUUGGCAGUUGAACUCCUAAAAUAUGAUGGUAAUUCUGUAUUCAGCAAAAAAUGUUGGCUACUGCUAAUGGAGCUUAUACUGAGGUACGUAUAUCAUUUCUUGAAUCAUUUUGAUGUGUUUUGAAUUUUGGGUAUUGUUCUUUGAGGUUGAAAGUGAUUACUUUGUAGACCCAUAGAGUCAUAAACCAUAGUUUAUUUAGAGAUGAAAACUACUUGGCUCAAUUACAUGAGUACUACUUUCCUCAAUUACAGGAAGUGCUUAGGUGAACAUAAAAAGAAAAGGAACAAGUAAGAAUAUUGUUUUUGACUAUUAAACUAUAAUUUCUGUUACUAAUUUUUGUUGCUUUUUUCUGUAACUUCCUGAUGGACAUAGAAGGGUUCAAGAAAUUUGGUUUGAUGGAGCGAAUGUGCAAAUUAUGUCAUACUAAUUCCGAGAUGGGUUUUCCAUUGUUAAAGAAUACAUAAAUAGAUUUUCUUGGAUGCUGUCUCUGAUAUUAGAUGGGUUGGAGAUGAUAAAAGAAUUCUGGGAGUACAUGUUGGUCGACAAUCAAUUAAUUGCACUUCAAAUUCAAGAGUGCAGCAUCGCCAGAAGGGAAAGAUCGUUGAUGAAAAUGAUGCUAGAUCCAACAAAGAAGGUUUUUACAAUGAAGAUUUUAGGAUGUUUUUAGGUAAUGUUACUGUUUCUACGUGGAUUAGUUUAAAUUGCAUUAUGAAGUUGAGAUUUCCCUUUCUAUAACCUGUAUUCUGUAAUCAAUCAUGUUCGGUGAAUUGGACGUAAUAGCUUAAAAGCACAUGGUACAAAACAUAUUCAUUUGGAGUAAUUUCAUAGCAAUAUCGAACCACAAUGCACAACUAUCGAGUCCAGUGCGUAGCAAGGUUACAUGUCAAUUUCUUUGAAAGAAAAAAAAAGGGUUUAACACAUCACGACGGGGCGGAGCGAAGCCCUUGCACACAUUGUUAUGGGGCUGCAUACCAAGUAAAAGAAAAGAAAAAUGUCGCCCCGUACACGCCAAAUCCAAAACGCAUUGUCACGGGGAGGGCGAACGAAGUGAAAAAGAAAAAUGCCCGGUGCGUAGCACGGGCAUAAAUAUAGUUUAAAUUGAUUUGAAAAGGUAAAUAAGAAGAUAAAAGUUAACACUUAACUAGAUUUAAG